rnacentral:rRNA from 1 species
UACGUAGGUGGCAAGCGUUGUCCGGAUUUAUUGGGUUUAAAGGGUGCGUAGGCGGUUCUAUAAGUCAGUGGUGAAAUACGGCAGCUCAACUGUCGAGGUGCCAUUGAUACUGUAGAACUUGAGUACAGACGAGGUAGGCGGAAUUGACGGUGUAGCGGUGAAAUGCUUAGAUAUCGUCAAGAACACCGAUAGCGAAGGCAGCUUACUAGGCUGUAACUGACGGCUGAGGCACGAAAGUGUGGGGAUCAAACAGG